rnacentral:rRNA from 1 species
GACGAACGCUGGCGGCGUGCUUAACACAUGCAAGUCGAGCGGUAAGGCCCUUUCGGGGGUACACGAGCGGCGAACGGGUGAGUAACACGUGGGUGACCUGCCCUCAGCUCUGGGAUAAGCCUGGGAAACCGGGUCUAAUACCGGAUAUGACUCCAUGACGCAUGUUGUGGGGUGGAAAGCCUUGUGCGGCUGAGGAUGGGCCCGCGGCCUAUCAGCUUGUUGGUGGGGUGAUGGCCUACCAAGGCGACGACGGGUAGCCGGCCUGAGAGGGCGACCGGCCACACUGGGACUGAGACACGGCCCAGACUCCUACGGGAGGCAGCGGUGGGGAAUCUUGCGCAAUGGGCGAAAGCCUGACGCAGCGACGCCGCGUGA